CUGUGUAUGUCUGUCUGUCCUGUGUAUGUCUGUCUGUCUGUCUGUCUGUCUGUAUCUGUUUGCGUUGUAAUGGCCUUCAAACAUAAACUUGACUCACAGGAUCCCCACUACCAAGAGGAGAGAUGUGUGGCUCUUGAACUGAAACUAGACUGUGUCCAGCAACAGUGAAGUUGAGGGACUCAAAGACAGUGACGCAGGAAAAGACGCAUUGGAUGUUACCUACUGGAAUGUCAAAAGUAGGGAUGCUCCGAUCCACCUUUUUUUCUUCCGAUUCCAAUACCUGAGAUUCAGUAUCGGCCGAUACAGAGUACCGAUCCGAUACUAAGGUAACAUUUUUAAAGUGCACAAUUACUUAAUAAACUGUGUGCAUUGCUGUGUAAGACAUCAGGCUCGACUUAACAUUAAUUUCCUUUCCCUGUAAAACAAAAUAACGAACGAUGAUUCACAAAUUUAGUGAAGCCAUUGUUCACUAUGACGGACAGCGGUUGCCCAUCCAUAACAAGGAAUACAAAUAUCGGAUCGGAGUAUCCCUAGUCAAAAGUGGAGUACAAGGAAUGUCGAGAGAUUGCCUGGUUUGCAGCAAAGAAAUAUAAAGUAAAAUAGCUGCUAGAGUGAAUGAUCUGGUUAUGUGCAGUCAUUUGAAAAAGAAAGUGACAGUUCUACUGUUAAAGAAAGUAGAACACAGCCUCCUACCAGAGAUGAAUUAUCAUCAUUAUUCAACACUCUCAGCACAACUGACUCAAACUCUGCAAUUUAUCCCUGAUUGAGCCUUAUUCAGACCACUUUAUUCCCAAACCAAUGAGUGAAAACUUUCCCCUGGUGUUGACUGAACUGCGGCAUGAGGGGACACUUCACACGGACUACAGUGAUGUAUUGUCCAUUUGUAAUCAUUGAAAGAUUUCAGUAUCUGAAGAGCAAUAGCUAUAAGGGAUCAAGCUUCUUCUAAACUGGUUUCAGUUUCGUGCUGGUCGAAUCACAGCAUCUAAAAUGAAAAGUGUAUGUUGUACUGAUCCCAAUCCACCAGCUCAGAGCUUGAUCAACAGUGUACGCUAUCCCCAAUCAUACACAUUUACAUCAGACUUUAUUACCUGGGGAUGUUCUCGUGAGAAAUAUGCACUUGAUAUGUUUACAGAAGAACAGAAGAAAUCUCAUGAAACAAAAGCGCACAGGACAGGUUUCUUCAUUAAUCCAUGUGUGCCAUUCUUAGGUGCUUCCCCAGAUUGCCUUGUUUCUUGUGAUUUUUGUGGUGUCAGUGUCACUGAAAUUAAAUGUCCAUUCUGUAUCAGAUCUGACAAGUAAGACAGAGUUACAGGAUUUUACUUGGAGAAGGAUGAUGAAGGGAAAUCAGAUGUUUCAUCCUCAUUUAUUCAUUUUUGGUUGGAUUAUCCCUUUAAUGCAUAAUUGUACUAAUUAUAAUAGUCUCUUUUUGCAUCUUUGUCCAUUUCUUUAUUUCUUUUAAUUUGACAUUUUCUUUCAUCUUGUCUGUGCGCAAAAGACAGUUCACCUAAAAUUCAUAAGAGUAAUUAAAUUGUGUUUUUUACCUCUUUCACACAAAUACAUACUUUAUGAUAAGC